UUAUAUGAGCACGGGCUUUCCUUAGCCUCUCCCUUUUAUUUGGGCUUCUUUUGAAGUGGGUUAGCUUCAGCCACAGGCUUUAUCUGCACUAGAUCAUAGUUUUCUUGCAGGGUGAAAAGCAACCAAAACCUUUUCAGCAUUUUGGAAGUCUUUGAGAAAGUGUACUCGCAGAAAGGAUAAAAGGUUGAUGUGGGAGAUGGAGCUUGCUUUCACUUCAGCAUCAAAGCAUGUGGGUGGGGUAAUAGAAGCUAAUUAUUUUAUAAUUAUGAUUUUUAACUUUUUCAGUUUUUUGUAGGUACAUGAUUAGACAAGGAAUCUAGAGGGACAGAUGAGGGAAAAUUUGAGGAAUCUCAAGGUUGAUGUUGCAGAUCAGGUCCAACACUUGGUCCCCUUUAUACUUAAUUUGAGUACUAAAGCUCAUGGCAUAUUGAAGAAUCAUUAAUCAAAUUAUGACAGAUCAUCCUCAGAGUACAUGCAGGUGACAUUAGUGAGCUGAAUUUACCUGGUUUUAGCAUAAUCAACUGUUUGAUUUUUCGAACUUCAUCCAGCUUAAGAAUGAUAUAGAUUUAACAUG
rnacentral:lncRNA from 1 species